GAGGGUAUAGCUCAGUGGUAGAGUGUUUGCUUAGCAUGCACGAGGUCCUGGGUUCAAUCCCCAGUGCCUCCA
rnacentral:tRNA from 1 species